rnacentral:tRNA from 1 species
GCGAGGGUUCCCGAGUGGUCAAAGGGGCAGGACUUAAGAUCCUGUGGCUUAGUGCCUUCGGGGGUUCGAAUCCUCCCCCUCGCA